AUGCUCACUCUCUCUGUAUGUGUGUGUGUGUGUGUGCACUUCGGAUGGGUUAAAUGCAGAGCACGAAUUCUGAGUAUGGGUCACCAUACUUGGCUGAAUGUCACUUUCACUUCACUUCACUUUCACUUCACUUCACUUUAUACCUCACAAUGUGGCUUUAUUUCUAAUUUUAGAUUUUAUCUCACUUUAUCUUUUUUAUUUUAUAAUGAAGUAAUUUCUAGGUGCUCCUACACACAGAAUAUAUUUUCUGUUGAGAUGCUGCUUCUGUAUGUUGUAAAUAUCUUGAGACCAUGAGGGGGUACACCAACAUCUUUCUCAAUGUAUAAAGCAUCUUUCUCUAAGCAGAAUGUGUGGUAUUAAAAAAUAAAUAAAUAAAUAAAUAAAGCACCAGCACAUAUUGAACUACUGUUGGCUAGUCUUUAAUUUAUAAUUAAUAAACCUGCAUCAAACAUGUGUUUUAAGAAAUUCCUUAGGUACUUGAAUUACACAACCUGUUGUACUUUGCAUCAUAUUAUUUUCCCUCAGAUAACAAAGAGAUAAGAAAAUGAAAGAUAUAGAGACAAAUUGAGGCAGAAAGCUGAAUACUGAAGUAAAACUGGCAUCUUAAAGUGACAAAGCCACAGAGCGGGUGACUUGUAAGGACAUGUGACAGGGUGUGAAUGUGAAGGCAUGUCCGGAUUGAUGACUGUCCAGUCUGUGGAGUGGAGGAUGAGCAAACUUGAAGAGCAGAUGAGAAACUAGAUGAGUAGUCUCGCGUAACCAGACCUUCAGACUAAUGGCUGAAGGACUGGAAUUCAUCGUCACAUUUCGAGGCGUGGAAAUGUUGCCAGAAUAACAGACCGGUGUGUAAAUCUCUGACAAAUUUUAAAGAUUGUAUGCCGCAAAAUUUAAAUAUUUCACAAAAUCCAUUGUUUAGUUGAUCCUGAUAAGCGCUCGUCGUAAACACAACGACUUUCUUCUUUUGUGCGGGGGUUUGGCGCCACGGUAUCGUUGUUUCCAGGCCGAACGUUAAAGAAUGCGACAC
ensembl:lncRNA